rnacentral:rRNA from 1 species
AGAGUGUUCACGGCAGGCUAUCGCCAGAAUACAUUAGCAUGGAAUAAUACUAUAGGAUCUCGAUUCUAUUUUGUUGGUUUCUAGAGUUGGGAUAAUGAUUAAUAGGGACAAUUGGGGGCAUUCGUAUCGACACGUCAGAGGUGGAAUUCUUGGAUUGUGUUGCGACGAACUACUGCGAAAGCAUUUGCCAAGGAUGUUUUCAUUGAUCAAGAACGAAAGUAAGGGGAUCGAAGACGAUUAGAUACCGUCGUAGUCUUUACCAUAAACUAUGCCAACUAGAGAUGGGACAUGUAUAUUCAUGACUUGUUCCGCACCUUAUGAGAUAUCAAAGUCUUUGGGCUCCGGGGGGAGUAUGGUCGCAAGGCUGAAACUUAAAGGAAUUGACGGAAGGGCACCACCAGGAGUGGAGCCUGCGGCUUAAUUUGACUCAACACGGGGAAACUCACCAGGUCCAGACAUAAUAAGGAUCGACAGAUUGAUAGCUCUUUCUUGACUUUAUGGGUGGUGGUGCAUGGCCGUUCUUAGUUCGUGGAGUGAUUUGUCUGCUUAAUUGCGUUAACGAACGAGACCUUAACCUGCUAAAUAGAAGCGCAUAUCUUCGGAUAAGCGCCUUCCUUUUUAGAGGGACUUGGUGCGAAUAGCGCAGGGAAGUUUGAGGCUAAAACAGGUCUGUGAUGCCCUUAGAUGUUCUGGGCUGCACGCGCGCUACACUGAUGCGUUCAACGAGUGUACAACCUUGCCCGAUAGGGUUGGGUAAUCUUUUGAACACGCAUCGUGAUGGGGAUAGAUUAUUGCAAUUAUUAAUCUUCAACGAGGAAUUCCUAGUAAUGAUGAAUCAUCAGUUCAUCGUGAUUACGUCCCUGCCCUUUGUACACACCGCCCGUCGCUCCUACCGAUUGAGCAAUCCGGUGAAUAUUUCGGACCGUGGCUAAUCUCACGAGCGGCCUCGGAAAGUCAAGUAAACCUUAUUGCUUAGAGGAAGGAGAAGUCGUAACAAGGUUUCCGUAGGUGAACCUGCAGAAGGAUCA